AGAGUUUGAUCCUGGCUCAGGACGAACGCUGGCGGCACGCUUAACACAUGCAAGUCGAACGAGAGAAGAGGAGCUUGCUUUUCUGAUCUAGUGGCGGACGGGUGAGUAACACGUGAGCAAUCUGCCUUUCAGAGGGGGAUACCGAUUGGAAACGAUCGUUAAUACCGCAUAACAUAAUUGAACCGCAUGAUUUGAUUAUCAAAGAUUUAUCGCUGAAAGAUGAGCUCGCGUCUGAUUAGCUAGUUGGUAAGGUAACGGCUUACCAAGGCGACGAUCAGUAGCCGGACUGAGAGGUUGAUCGGCCACAUUGGGACUGAGACACGGCCCAGACUCCUACGGGAGGCAGCAGUGGGGAAUAUUGCACAAUGGAGGAAACUCUGAUGCAGCGAUGCCGCGUGAGGGAAGAAGGUUUUAGGAUUGUAAACCUCUGUCUUCAGGGACGAAAAAAGACGGUACCUGAGGAGGAAGCUCCGGCUAACUACGUGCCAGCAGCCGCGGUAAUACGUGGGGAGCGAGCGUUGUCCGGAAUUACUGGGUGUAAAGGGAGCGUAGGCGGGAUCGCAAGUCAGAUGUGAAAACUAUGGGCUUAACCCAUAAACUGCAUUUGAAACUGUGGUCCUUGAGUGAAGUAGAGGUAAGCGGAAUUCCUAGUGUAGCGGUGAGAUGCGUAGAUAUUAGGAGGAACAUCAGUGGCGAAGGCGGCUUACUGGGCUUUAACUGACGCUGAGGCUCGAAAGCGUGGGGAGCAAACAGGAUUAGAUACCCUGGUAGUCCACGCCGUAAACGAUGAUUACUAGGUGUGGGGGGACUGACCCCUUCCGUGCCGCAGCAAACGCAAUAAGUAAUCCACCUGGGGAGUACGACCGCAAGGUUGAAACUCAAAGGAAUUGACGGGGGCCCGCACAAGCAGUGGAGUAUGUGGAUUAAUUCGAAGCAACGCGAAGAACCUUACCAGGUCUUGACAUCGUAUGCAUAGCUCAGAGAUGAGUGAAAUCUCUUCGGAGACAUAUAGACAGGUGGUGCAUGGUUGUCGUCAGCUCGUGUCGUGAGAUGUUGGGUUAAGUCCCGCAACGAGCGCAACCCUUACUGUUAGUUGCUACGCAAGAGCACUCUAGCAGGACUGCCGUUGACAAAACGGAGGAAGGUGGGGAUGACGUCAAAUCAUCAUGCCCCUUAUGACCUGGGCCUCACACGUACUACAAUGGCUGUCAACAGAGGGAAGCAAAGCCGCGAGGUGGAGCGAACCCCUAAAAGCAGUCUUAGUUCGGAUUGUAGGCUGCAACCCGCCUACAUGAAGUCGGAAUUGCUAGUAAUCGCAGAUCAGCAUGCUGCGGUGAAUACGUUCCCGGGCCUUGUACACACCGCCCGUCACGCCAUGGGAGUCGGUAACACCCGAAGCCUGUAGUCUAACCGCAAGGAGGACGCAGUCGAAGGUGGGAUUGAUGACUGGGGUGAAGUCGUAACAAGGUA
rnacentral:rRNA from 1 species